UGCGCGGAUGGCGCAGUGGUCAGUGCAUCUGUCUUAUAAGCAGGAGACCCGGGUUCGAUUCCAGGUCCGGCAU